rnacentral:rRNA from 1 species
GACGAACGCUGGCGGCGUGGAUUAGGCAUGCAAGUCGAACGGUAUCAUCCUUUCGGGGGUGAGAGAGUGGCGAACUGGUGAGUAACACGUAGGUUAUCUACCCUCAAGACGGGGACAACCCAGGGAAACUUGGGCUAAUACCGGAUGUGAGCAACUUUUAGUUGUUUGAAAGGUGGCGUAAGCUGUCGCUUGGGGAUGAGCCUGCGUCCUAUUAGUUAGUUGGUGAGGUAACGGCUCACCUAGGCAAUGAUAGGUAGGCGGCCUUAACGGGUGGUCGCCCACACUGGGAUUGAGAUACGGCCCAGACUCCUACGGGAGGCAGCAGUCGAGAAUAGUCUACAAUGGUCGGAAGACUGAUAGUGCGACGCCGCGUGAACGAUGAAUCCCUUCGGGUGUAAAGUUCUUUUAUAUGUGAGCAGUGCUUCUUAUAUUUAACAGUAUGGGGAGAGAGAUAUUAGCAUAUGAAUAAGCAACGGCUAACUCCGUGCCAGCAGCCGCGGUAAA